rnacentral:rRNA from 1 species
CCCCGGGCAUUGACUAGUACGGCGAGUGAACAGGCAAGAGCUCAGAUUUGAAAGGCACUUUUGUGCCGUUGUAUUCUGAAGUUAGGGUCCUGAGAAACGAUGCUUAAGUCUUCUGGAAAGGAGCGCCAUGGAGGGUGAUAGCCCCGUCUAGCAUUGACCUCAUAUAGGAUCUUAACAUGGAGUCGAGUUGUUUGGGAAUGCAGCUCAAAUGGGUGGUAUGCUCCAUCUAAAGCUAAAUAUCUGCGAGAGACCGAUAGUAAACAAGUACUGUGAGGGAAAGAUGAAAAGAACUUUGAAAAGAGAGUGAAAAAGUACGUGAAAUUGUUGAAAUGGAAGGGUAGGCCGCUAACCAUGUAGAGCCGUGUUUGGGGGGAAGAUAAAUGCUGUAGAAUGUAGCUCCUCGGAGUAUUAUAGAUGCAGUUCAUAUUCCCACCCGAGCGCGAGGAUCUCAGGUUCUACUAAAUGGUGGUCUACCACCCGUCUUGAACCCCGGACCA